GGGCCUAUAGCCUAGUGGAUAGGGCGGCCGGCUUCGGACCGGUUGACCGGGGUUCGAGUCCCCGUAGGCCCA
rnacentral:tRNA from 1 species